AUCUAUAUGCAGCAGACAUGGUGCUAGGACUCCACACGUCCUCUCAGUAAAUCCCAGGAGACAGGACCCCAGAGGCAUUGCUCUCAUUCAGUGCUCUCGCCUCCCUCCUGGAUUGCCUAGUCAGAGUGAGACAUGGAGAGGGGCUGAUGUAACCACCCCAGCAGGAGUAAGGAGGCUGGAAGGAGGAAACCAGUGAUGAAGGAUUUGCCAUAACCUUGUCCUGGAUGGAGAGCCAUGGCCAAAGUGGGUGGAGAGGAAUGGCCAUGCAAGGCAGCUGUGAUGGAUUCACCUCUGUGCAAGACAGCUAUGACGGAGUUGAUAGAAAGUGUGAGAACAUGGGCCACCCCUCCUUGGAUGUUUUCUUUCCAGAUUGGAAUGGUGUGAUUCUAAGAGUCCUGGGACAGAAGGAGUAUUGGAGGUGUCAAGGGGCUGGACCGGUGAGGACAGGAGUCGAAUGUGCCCCUGAUCUCUGUCCCUCUCCUCGGGGCUGCAGCCCUUGUGACAUCGAAGUGCCCCACCCCCUCCUUCGGCUUCCCUCGCUGCUGCGCAGAGGCCACUGGAGGGCGCUGUCUCCUCACACUUCUGGCUGAGCUCACCUCCGCUGUCUGAACCUCCUUUUGAGGCUGGAGAGAAAUUGAGAGGCCUGGAGCCAGUGUCUGGGAGGCCUCUGGACACAGCUGGACCCACCGAGGCCACAUGGGGUCAGUAGGAUCUGAGCCUGUGGAAGGAGGUGCCAGAGCAAUGACUAGGAGUCAAAGUCCUGGGCUUCAGGGCGAGGGCUUGUGGUGAGCUCUGGACAAAUGGCUUUGUCUGUUCGAUCCUCAGUUUUUGUAUCUGCAGACUGUGGAGAGUGACCCACCUUAUGGCACUGUUGUGAGAAGUGCUACAAAUGAGAAUGUACAUGUGAGUGCUUCAAAGAACUCAGAUGUUCUCCAUGCCAGAGUGGGUUUUAUUUAUUUAUUUAUUUUUUGAUGGAGUCUUGCUCUGUUGCCCAGGCUGGAGUGUGCAAUGGUGCAAUCUUAGCUCACUGCAACCUCUGCCUCCUGGGUUCAAGGAAUUCUCCUGCCUCAGCCUUGCCGAGUAGCUGGGAUUACAGGUGCACACCACCACACCCAGCUAAUUUUUGUAUUUUUAGUAGAGAUGGGGUUUCACCAUGUUGGCCAGGCUGGUCUCAAACUCCUAAACUCAAAUGAUCCACCUGCCUAGGCCUCAAAAAGUGCUGGAAUUACAGGCAUGAGCCAUCUCACCUGGCUAAUUUUUAUAUUGUUAGUAGAGAGAGGGUUUCACCAUGUUGACCAGGCUGGUCUCAAACUCCUGACCCCAGAUGAUCUGCCCGCCUCUGCUUCCCAAAGUGCUGGGAUUACAGGCAUGAGCCACCGUGCCUGAUCCGCCAGAGUAGGUCUUGAUGGUUAUCACCCUUGAAGAAUCAUCCAGUAACCCAAGGAGAAGAUCAUUUGGCUAGGGCCCCGUAUGACCUUCAAACUGGCAUAGGCACUGAACUGUUCCUUACGUUCUCACAACAGCCCCAAGAGGUAUGAAUUAUUAUCAUCUCCAUUUCAUAGCUGGGAAAACCCAGGCUCAGAGAGGCGCCAUAGCUCCCCCUGGGUCACCCAGCCACUGGGUGGCCUUACCGGAAUUCAGACCCAGGUCUGUUUGGCUCCAUAGACUUGCUUAAACUACUGGACUGUCCCGCACUGGCCCAUGCCAAGUCAGGAAAGGGUUUGAUGUGACCUACUAAAGUCCCUCGGGCUGAGGUUUCAGCUGAGUGUCCUUUAUUUAGUCCUUUGGAGGUGUGGACCCGUAUGUCUUUGGUAUGGAUCCACAUUUCAGUGGGGUCAGUAACUCCCUGGAUUGGUUUUGCCAUUUUUUUUUCUCCCCUUGGACUUAUACGCAUGAUUCUUCCCCCUCCCUGGGAAGCAGAGCUGGCCCUGUGACAUAGGUGGCUUUACCUGCAGCUUGACCUCUUUACCUCUUUUUUUUUUUUUUUUUUUUUUGAGAUGGAGUCUCACUCUGUUGCCCAGGCUGGAGUGCAGUGGUGCAAUCUCGGCUCACUGCAACCUCUGCCUCCUAGGUUCAAGUGAUUCUCCUGCCUCAGCCUUCCCAGUAGCUGGGACUACAGGCGCACACCACCACACCUGGCUAAUUUUUGUGUUUUUAGUAGAGAUGGCGUUUCACCAUGUUGGCCAGGCUGGUCUCGAACUCCUGACCUCUCUCAGGCGAUCUGGCCGCCUUGGCCUCCUAAAUUGCUAGGAUUACAGGCAUGAGCCACGGCACCCGGCAACCUUCUCAUAUGAGUGGCAGAUGGGUGGAAGAGGCUGGACUUAUGUCCAUUCACAGGCUCCCCACCCUGGUCAGGGUGCAGGGUAUUUGCUGUGCUGGAGGACAUACCUCCAUGUUAAAAUGCCCAGUUGAAGCCUUGUAGCUUUUUUCACUUCUUAUUUUCUAUCUUGAUGAAAGAUUGUGCUGUCGGCAGGGUUGUAGUUAAGUCGAAGUGUGGCUUUGUUUUCACAAUUUCUGUUCACUUUCCUCCCACUCUUAGGCAGCUUGAGAAGGGUGGAGGGGUGGGGAAGGAGAGUGACAGUGGGUGCUGGAAUCUCCCAGCCUGGGGGGUUCUUGAAGUUCCACAGUCAUGGAAUUGUGGCGCUG
rnacentral:lncRNA from 1 species